AGAUUGCAAUGUGUCUACCGGCGUGUUUCGCAGUUUAAGAAAUCUGCAGAGAGGAUUUUAGUUGAUAUAGGUCAUAGCUAUUUAUUAAGGAGUAUCUAAACAUGCCGACAAUAACGGUAAAUAAGGAAGAUCUGUUCAAAGCGCUUGGAAAACGUUACACUUUUGAGGAAUUUGAUGAACUUUGUUUUGAAUUUGGGGUCGAGCCUGAAGAACCAGAUGAAAAAGAGAUAGCGGAAAACCCUGAUUCUGCAUUAGAAUGGAAGGUUGAAAUUGGAGCAAACAGGUAUGAUUUGCUCUGCAUAGAAGGAUUAGCCAGAGGCCUACUUGUGUUUUUAGAAAAAAUUAAGGCCCCUAUAUAUACGUCAAUACCGGCAUGGACUGGAAAAUCUGCCAAGCUUCGAAUUUUACCAAGUACUGCCAAAGUGAGACCAUUUGCUGUGGCUGCUAUUUUAAGGAAUAUUACAUUUACUCCUGAGAGCUACAAAAGUUUCAUCGACCUUCAAGACAAAUUGCACCAGAAUCUCUGCAGGAGGAGAACAUUAGUGGCCAUUGGAACUCAUGACUUGGACACAAUUAAAGGACCAUUCUUUUAUGAUGCUAAACCACCAUCAAAGAUCAAGUUCAAGGCAUUAAAUCAAACUCAGGAAAUGACAGCAUGCCAACUCAUGGAACUCUACUCAAAUGAGAGCCAUCUUAAGCAGUACCUUCCCAUCAUUCAGGACAAACCUGUGUACCCUGUUAUCUAUGACAGCAACGGAGUAGUGUUGUCUAUGCCACCGAUUAUCAAUGGGGAGCACAGUAAGAUAACUUUGAAUACAAGGAAUGUGUUCAUUGAGUGCACAGCCACCGACUUGAACAAGGCAAAGAUCACGCUGGAUACGAUCGUCACCAUGUUCAGCCAGUACUGUUCCCCAAAAUAUGAGGGGAUUGAGUCUGUGGAAGUGGUGAAUCCAUGUGGAACCAGUGUUAUGUACCCAGAACUUCAUUACAGACUUGAAGAAAUUGAUGUGUCUGAAACAAACCAAAAGAUAGGAAUAUGCAUCCCUCCAGGUGAGAUGGCUCGACUACUGACCAAGAUGUGUCUGGUAUCUACCCCUUUUGACAGCGGUAACAAAAUCAUGGUGGAGGUUCCACCUACUAGGCAUGAUAUUAAUUCAUGCCUGUGAUAUCAUGGAAGAUGUGGCCAUUGCCUAUGGAUACAACCACAUAACGAAAACAAUUCCCCAAACAAACUGUAUUGGGAACCAGUAUCCCAUCAACAAACUGUCAGACCUACUGAGACAAGAAAUUGCAGCAGCUGGAUUCACAGAGGUUCUCACAUUUGCUCUGUGCUCACGAGAUGAUGUAGCAGACAAAUUAGGCAAAAAUAUCAAGAAUGUGAAUGCUGUCCACAUUGCCAAUCCUAAAACAUUGGAGUUUCAGGUUGCCAGGACAACACUACUGCCAGGGAUACUGAAGACCAUCAGUAAAAAUAAAAACAUGCCAUUACCUCUAAAGCUGUUUGAAAUCUCAGACAUUGUUAUGUGUGAUCCUAAAAAAGAUGUUGGAGCUCGUAAUGAGAGAUGGAUGUGUGCUGUGAACUAUAACAAAUCCUCAGGGUUUGAGAUCGUGAAGGGUUUGCUGGACAGGGUCAUGCAGCUAAUGGAGAUUCCAUUCCAGAAGGGGAAUGAUGGAUACUACAUCGAAGCAUGUGAUGAUCCAACAUAUUUCCAAGGUCGCUGUGCAACUGUGAUAUUGAGAGGGAAGCCGAUAGGAAAAAUAGGAGUACUACACCCCGAUGUUGUGACAAAGUUUGAUUUAAACAAUCCAUGUUCUGCUUUUGAAAUUUCAGUAGAACCUUUGUGGAGGAGUUCAUGAGUUGUGUGUGACAUUACCCCAGCUGUAACCAAUUGAAUUAUUCUCAGUACCUCCUAAUUUACACUUAUAUUACAGAAGAUAUUAUAAUAUCAUGCACUAAUACAAGAAUGUAAAUGGAUUUGAAAUAUUUGAAAGGUAAUAAAACUUUGAAGGGUAAAAUAAAACAUUCAUAAGUUGUGUAUAUUCUAUCAGCACCCAGUACUUGUUCAGUGUAAGGAGUUUGCUUCCUGCAGACAAAUCAAUGAAGAAAAAGAGUGUUUACAUUUGCAAAUAAUUUAUAUAUUUUACAAGCAUUGUAAAAACAGACAACUAUCACAGAUUCACAGUAAAGUCUGAAUAAUCCAAGAAAACAAUUGAAAGUACAGGUACCUGUAUUUGUACAUUAGUUUCAUACUUAUAUAGUUUAUGAUAUAAAUUGUUUCACAUAGGAAUUUACUUUGUAUCACAAUAUCUGGACAUUAAGAAUGUUGUUUAGUCCGAGACAACGAAAGCACGUAGCAUGACCUUAAUUUGUUCCGUGACAUCUCCUUUCAAGGUCAACAUAACACUGGCCUCCACUGGAGUGUUUGGCUAAAAAUACAAAGAUGGUUGAAUAGCAUGAAGGUAUCAAGAAAAAAUAUAGUAUCUCUAUAUGCAUUGAUGAUUAAAAUCAAAUUGAUUUGUUUAAAUCAGAGAGAAAAAAACUUCAAACAAAAAUGUUUGUGAUUGCUGUUCACAUAAGAAUGAAUGCAUUCCUUUGAUUACUUACAUCAUGGCCUGCUGGAGGCGUCCAUGUAAAUGUGACAGGUUUAAGUCCACCUGCCUCUACCAUUCCCUGCAAAUCAGAAAGUUUAAUCAAACACUGUGUAACCUUGCAGGGACAAAAACAUUUUGAUAUAAAAUCAUUGACCACUAAUGUUAUAGGGAUAACCCUUGAAAAGAACUCUUUACUUGUAAAUAAUACACUUGGAAAAAUCAAAGGGCAGGCAUUUUUACCUUUUGUGGCUCUAUGUUAAAUCCUUUUUGUGUGAUGAGCUGUACAUUAUCAAACUGGAAUUCACCAUUCUGUUAAUACAACAAUAAAUACAUAAUGUAAGCUUGCUGUACUUCUAACAAUAAAAUACAUGUAGUUCAAAAGGAAAAGAGGGAAAUACAUGUAAUCCUCUAUCAAGUAUGAUAAAUACAUGUUUUAACAUGCUCAAAAUAAAACUUUAAGUCUUUUAUACAGUGCAUGUAUUUAGAUUCAAAAAGCUUAAUCAUCACAAAAAUGCUAUUAUUUGUAAAAAGCUAUUCAUUUAUAUAUUGUUCUACCAAUGUAUAUUUUUUUAUGUAAAAUUGCAACAAAUAAAUUUGCAUUUUCAUCU
rnacentral:misc_RNA from 1 species